rnacentral:tRNA from 3 species
GCCGGGGUAGCCUAGCCCGGACCAAGGCGGCGGGCUCGAGACCCGUUGGUGGGCGACCACCACGCGAGUUCAAAUCUCGCCCCCGGCG